AUUGAACGCUGGCGGCAGGCCUAACACAUGCAAGUCGAGCGGAGCGGCGGACGGGUGAGUAAUGCCUAGGCAUCUGCCUGGUAGUGGGGGAUAACGUCCGGCAACGGGCGCUAAUACCGCAUACUAUCAGAUGAGCCUAGGUCGGAUUGGCUAGUUGGUGGGGUAAAGGCCUACCAAGGCGACGAUCCGUAACUGGUCGGAGGGGAUGAUCAGUAACACUGGAACUGAGACACGGUCCAGAUUCCUACGGGAGGCAUCAGUGGGGAAUAUUGGACAAUGGGCGAAGUCCUGAUCCAGCCAUGCCGCGUGUGUGAAGAGGGUCUGCGGAUUGUAAAGCACGUUAAGUUGGGAGGCGUUACCAACAGACUAAGCACCGGCUAACUUCGUGCCAGCCGCCGCGGUAAUAC
rnacentral:rRNA from 1 species